GCGGCGCUGGGGCGGCCCGUCUACGAGACGCUGAGCGUGCGCGCCGCGCACCUGCUGCGCCAGCUGCCCGCGCGCGUGCUGAUGACGCUGCGCCGCCUGCUGCGUCUGCCGCUGCGCGACGUGCUGCGCGCCGACCCCAGCCUCGAGCCGCUGCUGCGCAGCUUCAUCAACGCACCCGACAGGCCCGUCACCUGCGCGCCCGGCCAGGGCGUCGCCAGCGACGGCACCUGCCGCGACAAGUGGAAGCGGCACACCAGAUGAGGGAGAUUCUGCGAGCGGCAAAGAAUAUCUGUUGCCAUAGAAUGUCUGUUACCUCCGAAACUGAAAGAAGAAAAGAGAUAAUUGAGUAAUGAAAGGAAAAUGAAUUCUUUAAGGAAUCUGAAGAAAUGUUUGUGUCGCAAAGUAAGAAGUAAGAAAAAUGAAAAGACUGUUCUGUGAGAAAUGAAAUCGUUUGUCCAAAGAAGACAUUACUAUUUCUACUUUCUCAAAUGUGUUUUUGUAGCUGCAACAUCGAAGUUUCGCUUUCACAAUAAAAUAUUUAGUUGUUUGAAAA